rnacentral:rRNA from 1 species
AUGUACUCCGCACAUCACCGCAGUGGCUUGGUCCUCAGAUUGAGGUCAUUCGUGCUGCCACCAAGUCGAUUGAGCGGGAGAUCAACUCUGUCCACAACAACCCACUCAUCGAUGUCUCUCGUGGCAAGGCUAUCCAUGGUGGAAACUUCCAGGGCACACCCAUCAGUGUGUCCAUGGACAACACCGGGUUUUCCAUUGCCGCAAUAG